rnacentral:miRNA from 1 species
CAGUGGACAAUGAAGAAUGCA